UUUAAAGGGGAAAAAUGGGGAUUUUAAGGGGGAAAAUGGGGAUUUUAAGGGAAAAAUGGGAAUUUUCCCCCGGGAAGAAGCGGAAAUCCCCCCUGGGAGGGGUUGGGAAAAGCCGGGAAGAAGCGGAAAUCCCCCCUGGGAGGGGUUGGGAAAAGAGGGAAAAGGGAAUUUUGUGGGAUGGGGGAGGAGGAAAUCCCGGGAGUUCCGGGUUUCCGUUUGUUUGGGAGAGAAACGCCGGGAAUUUUGGGAUUCCUCGGUUUGUUUUUCUGGGAAAAAUCCUCCAAAAUUCCCUUUUCCCGCUGUUUUUCCGGCGGGAAAUCCCAAAAAAUUUCAUGUUUGGGGUUGGAUUUUAUGAAAAAACCCCAAAAUUUUCAUUUCUGGCCUGGAUUUUACGGAUAAAAAAAGCCCCAAAAUUUGUUUUUCUCCUCAUUUUUACAAAAAAAAAAAACCCCAAACUCUUUUUUUUCCCUCGAUUUCCUGGGAAAAUCCCUAAAAAUUUCAUUUUUCUCCUUAUUUUGACAGGAAAAAAAAUCCCAGGAAUCUCCUUUUCCCCCUUUUUUUCACGACAACUCAUCCCUGAAACUUCGCUUUUGGCUCGGAUUUAUGGAAAAAAUUCCUUCAGCUCCUUUUUUUUCUCCCUCCUUUUAAGGAAAACUCUCCCUAAACCUUUUUUUUCCUCUUCUUUUUAAGGGAAAAUCCCUCAAAUCCCCAUUUUUUUCCCAGGGAAAAUUCCCGAAGCUCCUUCCCCUCCCAUUUUUUGGGGGAAUCCUCCCUAAAUCCUCAUUUCCCGCCCGGAUUUUUUGGGGAUAAAUCCCCGGAAUUCGCUUUUCCUGCUCUUUUUUCUCCUCCCAAAUCCUCGUUUUUCCCUCCCCUCCCCCCCCAUGGAUCCUCUCUCCGCCUGAACCCCUCCCCCAUUCCCAAUUUUCCCCACUUUUCCCCAUUUUUCCCCACUUUUCCCCACUUUUUUCCCAAUUUUUCCCACUUUUUCCCCCAUUUUUUCCCACUUUUUCCCCAUUUUUCCCCACUUUUUCCCCACUUUUCCCCAUUUUUCCCACUUUUUCCCACUUUUUCCCACUUUUUCCCACUUUUUCCCACUUUUCCCCACUUUUUUCCCACUUUUUCCCACUUUUUCCCACUUUUUCCCACUUUUUCCCCACUUUUUCCCCACUUUUUCCCCACUUUUCCCCAUUUUUCCCCACUUUUCCCCACUUUUUCCCCACUUUUUCCCCACUUUUCCCACUUUUUCCCACUUUUUCCCACUUUUUCCCACUUUUUCCCCACUUUUCCCCACUUUUUCCCACUUUUUCCCACUUUUCCCACUUUUCCCCACUUUUUCCCCACUUUUUCCCACUUUUUUCCCACUUUUUUCCCACUUUUUUUCCACUUUUUCCCCACUUUCCCCCACUUUCCCCCCACUUUUCCCCAUUUUCUCCAACUUUUUCCCACUUUUUCCCACUUUUUUCCCCACUUUUUCCCCACUUUUUCCCACUUUAUCCCCACUUUUUGCCACUUUUCCCCAUUUUUCCCACUUUUUCCCACUUUUUCCCCACUUUUUCCCACUUUUCCCCACUUUUUUCCCAUUUUUUCCCAUUUUUUCCCCACUUUUCCCAUUUUUCCCCAUUUUUUCCCACUUUUUCCCCAUUUUCCCCACUUUUCCCCAUUUUUCCCCAUUUUCCCCACUUUUCCCCACUUUUCCCUGCGGAUCCCUGUGGAUCUCCGCCCUCCCAGGGUCCCUUUGCCCCGGGAUCCUUUGGGAUCCCUGGGGAUCUCCGCUCUCCCUGCGGAUCCCUGAAUUCCAGGGGGAUCCCCGGGGUUUUCCGGGGGGUUUCCCUUCCCCUCCCGCCUCGGGAUCCCCUCGGGAUUGGCCGGAGCCUGCUGGGAUCCUCUGGGAUCCUCUGGGAUCCUCUGGGAUCCUUUGGGAUCUCUGCUCUUCCCCAUCUCCAGGGGGGCUCCGUCCUUCCCCUCGGGCUCCCCGGGAUCGGUCGGGAUCCCCGGGAUCUGUUGGGAUCCCCAGGUUUGUGCAGGCUCCCCAGGCUCGGUUGGGAUCCCCAGGACCAGUUGGGAUCUCUCAGUCUCCCCCGUCAGGAUCCCCAGGAUCUCCUGGGAUCCCUCAUUCUCCCCAGUCAGGAUCCCCAGGAUCUCCUGGGAUCCCUCAGGAUCUCCCCAGGAUCCCCAGUCUCGUUCAGGCUCAUUCAGGAUCUCCCCAGUCCCUCCCAGUCCCUCCCCGUCUCUCCCAGUCCCUGUCCCCAGUCCCUCCCAGUCCCUCCCAGU
rnacentral:lncRNA from 1 species